CAAGGUUUCCGUAGGUGAACCUGCGGAAGGAUCAUUAUUGUAGGGGCUUCGGCCCUUGCAUGAUGCAAACCCUUGCUCUUUUUAAGUAGUAACCCGUUUCCUCGGCAGCAUUGCUUAAUUCCACGGCCGUGCCUGUCAGAGGACCCCCCAAAAAACCCUUUGCAAUCUCUACAAUUUUCAGAAACAAUUCAAUUUUUAAAACUUUCAACAAUGGAUCUCUUGGCUCUGGCAUCGAUGAAGAACGCAGCGAAAUGCGAUAAGUAGUGUGAAUUGCAGAAUUCAGUGAAUCAUCGAAUCUUUGAACGCACAUUGCGCCCUUUGGUAUUCCUUAGGGCAUGCCUGUUCGAGCGUCAUUUAAAAACUCAAGCGAAGCUUGGUGAUGGGCGUCUGUCCCGCACGACGAUGGUGCACAAGGACUCGCCUCAAAUGCAGUUGGCAGCCCCAAUACCUCCUCAAAUCGGAUCCGAAGUAGAAUUCGCAGGCCGUGGACGGUGGUGGCUCUCCAAAGUAGAAACUCGUGAAGCCUCCUCAAUCGGAUGCGAAGUAAAAUUUGCAGGCCGUGGAUGGUGGG
rnacentral:rRNA from 1 species